rnacentral:tmRNA from 1 species
GGGGCUGUAAUGGUUUCGACGGGAGUCUUGAAAGUAGAGAUAGCCAUCCGCAGUAUCGGUCAACUGCGUAUCAAGGCCGUAACCUUUUAAAAAAGAAACGACAAUAAAUUAGAAUUACAGGCUGCCUAAGCGCGGCCCGUCGGCCCGGGAUUGCUCACAGUCCCGAUAACCGGCGUCGACUUUGUGAGGACCUUUUUUACCUAAGCUUUGCGGUAAAAAAAGAACUAUGAAGCUACCUGAUUCUGCAGCCUGACUGUCGGCGGCAGAGGACGGGAAUUUUAAAGGAUAGUCUGUGAUGGGAGAGGUCUUUACCGAUGGGUUUUCGGACAGGAGUUCGAUUCUCCUCAGCUCCAU